rnacentral:misc_RNA from 1 species
ACCGUGGCUCAGUUCAGAUCGUAGGCUGCAACUCGCCUACGUGAAGUAGGAAUCGCUAGUAAUCGCAGGUCAGCAUACUGCGGUGAAUACGUUCCCGGGCCUUGUACACACCGCCCGUCACACCAUGGAAGUUGGCCAUGCCCGAAGUCGUUACUCCAACCCUUGUGGAGGAGGACGCCGAAGGUGGGGCUAAUGACUGGGGUGAAGUCGUAACAAGGUAGCCGUACCGGAAGGUGCGGCUGGAUCACCUCCUAACAGGGAGACAACAAAAUGUUUAAUAUUAUUUUGUCACCUUAGGUCGAUCGGUAUCUCACGUUCUUAAAUUUAUUGAGAAUUUCAUUUCCUAAGUUUUUCUAGGUCACACCCAUUUUUUCCUGGGCCAUUAGCUCAGGUGGUUAGAGCGCACCCCUGAUAAGGGUGAGGUCCCUGGUUCAAGUCCAGGAUGGCCCAUAUCUCUAUGUUGGGGGUAUAGCUCAGUUGGUAGAGCGCCUGCUUUGCAAGCAGGAUGUCAGCGGUUCGAGUCCGCUUACCUCCACUGAUUACCACCUCUUCCAUAAUCUGGAGAAAGGAAAAUUUUGAGAUGUGACCACAUUCUGAACGAAUCUAGCUUCCUAAUGAAACCAUUAAGAUGCUGGAUUCAUUGAAUUAAAUUCAUUGUUUUCAGAGAACCUUGACAACUGCAUAGAUUAUUUUAAAGACAAUAAGCAUCUCUAAUGAUGCAGAUUUAUUAUUUGUGCUAA